UAUGUAGGGUGCGAGCGUUAAUCGGAAUUACUGGGCGUAAAGCGUGCGCAGGCGGUUUUGUAAGACAGACGUGAAAUCCCCGGGCUUAACCUGGGAACUGCGUUUGUGACUGCAAGACUAGAGUACGGCAGAGGGGGGUAGAAUUCCACGUGUAGCAGUGAAAUGCGUAGAUAUGUGGAGGAAUACCGAUGGCGAAGGCAGCCCCCUGGGUCGAUACUGACGCUCAUGCACGAAAGCGUGGGGAGCAAACAGG
rnacentral:rRNA from 1 species